CAACUACUCCCUCUGUCCCAAAUUUCUUGUCUUAGAUUUGUCUAGAUACAGAUGUAUCUAAUACUAAAAUGUGACUUGAUACAUCCGUAUCUAGACAAAUCUAAGACAAGAAUUUUGGGACGGAGGGACUAAUUU
rnacentral:pre_miRNA from 1 species